rnacentral:rRNA from 1 species
GACGAACCGUGCGAACGUUGUUCGGAUUCACUGGGCUUAAAGGGCGCGUAGGCGGGCGACCAAGUCAGGGGUGAAAUCUUUCGGCUCAACCGGAAAAGUGCCCCUGAUACUGGCCGCCUCGAGGGAGGUAGGGGCAUGUGGAACUUCCGGUGGAGCGGUGAAAUGCGUAGAUAUCGGAAGGAACGCCGGUGGCGAAAGCGACGUGCUGGACCUUUCCUGACGCUGAGGCGCGAAAGCCAGGGGAGCAAACGGG